rnacentral:rRNA from 1 species
UACGAAGGGGGCUAGCGUUGCUCGGAAUCACUGGGCGUACCGCGCACGUAGGCGGAUUGUUAAGUCAGGGGUGAAAUCCUGGAGCUCAACUCCAGAACUGCCUUUGAUACUGGCGAUCUUGAGUCCGGGAGAGGUGAGUGGAACUGCGAGUGUAGAGGUGAAAUUCGUAGAUAUUCGCAAGAACACCAGUGGCGAAGGCGGCUCACUGGCCCGGUACUGACGCUGAGGUGCGAAAGCGUGGGGAGCAAACCGG